rnacentral:lncRNA from 1 species
AACAACAAGUUAGGUUGUGAGCUUGUAAAACAACCGGCUGUAAUCUGAGGGAUUAUAGUGAAAUUCCCAAGAGGUCUUGGGAAGUGGAUGUAGGUGCUGGGGUGCACCGAACCACUAUACGUUUGUUGUGUUUGUGAUGCUUUAUUUUAUUGUUUAAUUUUCUCACUUACUUACUUAGAUAAAUAUCUAAUUGAAUUGCUUGCUUAACUCUUAUCCGCGCAUCCUUUAGUUGCAAGUAUAUUCAAAUUGUUUAAUCAAGUUUCUUUUAAUAAAACUGCAUUAAGAUUCAUUAUAUUGAAAUGCUUGCUUGGAGAAAUCUAGACUAAUUGUUUAUUGAGUCCGCUCAUUAAUAAUUUUAAUCUUGAUCAGAUUAGAAUCAAACUAUUGCUAAGUUUAAAUUCCACUGUGCAUCUAUACAACUUAGCUUAAUUAAUCGAAAAGUUUAGAAGUAGUUGAAAAGUUUUAAAAGA